AACGAACGCUGGCGGCAUGCUUAACACAUGCAAGUCGAACGAGACCGUCGGGUCUAGGUGCGCAGGUGUGCGUAACGCGGGGGAAGCUGCCCGUAGGUUCGGAAUAACUCCCCGAAAGGGGUGCUAAUACCGGAGAAUGUCUUCGGACCAAAGACUUAUGGCCAUUUGGUGGGCGCGCGUUGGCUUAGGUGGUUGGUAGGGUAAAAGCCGACCAAGGCGACGAUCCAGAGCUGGUGGGAUAGGAUGAUACGCCACGCUUGGAAUGCGACACGGCCCAGAACCCUACGGAAGGCAGCAGUGGGGAAUAUUGGAGACGGGGCGAAAGCCUGAUCAAGCAAUGCCGCGUGAGUGAUGAAGGCCGUAGGGUUGUAAAGCUCUUUUACCCGGGACGAUAAUGACAGUACCGGGAGAAUAAGCUCCGGCUAACUACGUG
rnacentral:rRNA from 1 species